rnacentral:snoRNA from 11 species
GACUUAGAUACUGACAUACUGCAGCUGCGAUAAAAAAUCGUCUGGCCGCCUCGUGCCUACGAUGGGCUAGGGAAAUGCCGUGACGAGACACGCACUGGGUGGCCAUUGCGUCUGCGGUAGAUCCGCCGAUUCCACAGCCCAGAAACACC